rnacentral:rRNA from 1 species
UACAGAGGGGGCGAGCGUUAUUCGGAAUUAUUGGGCGUAAAGGGCGCGUAGGCGGCCUUUCAAGUGACGGGUGAAAUCCCUCGGCUUAACCGAGGAACUGCCUGUCAGACUGGAAGGCUUGAGACCGGGAGAGGUGAGUGGAAUUCCCAGUGUAGCGGUGAAAUGCGUAGAUAUUGGGAGGAACACCAAUUGCGAAGGCAGCUCGCUGGGACGUUACUGACGCUGAGACGCGAAAGCGUGGGGAGCAAACAGG